AGGGACACUAUACAUAAAGUGUAGGGAAGCUGGAGGCAAUAACAGGUCUGUGAUGCCCUUAGAUGUCCUGGGCUGCACGCGCGCGACACUGAUUCAUUCAACAAGUGGCUGAAUCGAUAGAUUUGGCAAAUCUUUUGAAAAUGAAUCGUGAUGGGGAUUGAUGUCUGUAAUAAACGUCAUGAACGAGGAAUUCCUAGUAAAUGCAAGUCAUCAACUUGCGUUGAUUACGUCCCUGCCCUUUGUACACACCGCCCGUCGCACCUACCGAUUGAAUGG
rnacentral:rRNA from 1 species